UACGUAGGUGGCAAGCGUUGUCCGGAUUUAUUGGGCGUAAAGCGCGCGCAGGCGGUCCUUUAAGUCUGAUGUGAAAUCUUGCGGCUCAACCGCAAGCGGUCAUUGGAAACUGGGGGACUUGAGUACCGGAGAGGAUGGCGGAAUUCCCCAAGUAGAGGUGAAAUUCGUAGAUAUGGGGAGGAACACCGGUGGCGAAGGCGGCCAUCUGGACGGAUACUGACGCUGAGACGCGAAAGCGUGGGUAGCAAACGGG
rnacentral:rRNA from 1 species